rnacentral:tRNA from 1 species
GGUGGUGUAGCUCAGUAGGAUAGAGCAGCAGCCUUCUAAGCUGUCGAUCGGUGGUUCGAAUCCACCCACCAUCGCCA